rnacentral:rRNA from 1 species
CUCCUACGGGACGCAGCAGAGAGGAAUAUUGGUCAAUGGGCGGAAGCCUGAACCAGCCAAGUCGCGUGAGGGAAUAAGGCCCUACGGGUCGUAAACCUCUUUUGCCGGGGAGCAAGGGCGGGGACGUGUCCCGGCCCGGAGAGUACCCGGAGAAAAAGCAUCGGCUAACUCCGUGCCAGCAGCCGCGGUAAUACGGAGGAUGCGAGCGUUAUCCGGAUUUAUUGGGUUUAAAGGGAGCGCAGGCGGCACGGCAAGCCUGAUGUGAAAGCCCGCGGCCCAACCGCGGGACUGCAUUGGGAACUACC